AUUGAACGCUGGCGGCAUGCCUUACACAUGCAAGUCGAACGGCAGCACGGGAGCAAUCCUGGUGGCGAGUGGCGAACGGGUGAGUAAUAUAUCGGAACGUGCCCAGUCGUGGGGGGAUAACGCAGCGAAAGCUACGCUAAUACCGCAUACGAUCUAUGGAUGAAAGCGGGGGAUCGCAAGACCUCGCGCGAUUGGAGCGGCCGAUAUCAGAUUAGGUAGUUGGUGAGGUAAAGGCUCACCAAGCCGACGAUCUGUAGCUGGUCUGAGAGGACGACCAGCCACACUGGGACUGAGACACGGCCCAGACUCCUACGGGAGGCAGCAGUGGGAAUUUUGGACAAUGGGCGCAAGCCUGAUCCAGCAAUGCCGCGUGCAGGAUGAAGGCCUUCGGGUUGUAAACUGCUUUUGUACGGAACGAAACGGUGAGCUCUAAUACAGUUUGCUAAUGACGGUACCGUAAGAAUAAGCACCGGCUAACUACGUG
rnacentral:rRNA from 1 species